rnacentral:rRNA from 1 species
GAUCAUGGCUCAGGACGAACGCUGGCGGCGUGCUUAACACAUGCAAGUCGAACGGAGCACCCUUGACUGAGGUUUCGGCCAAAUGAUAGGAAUGCUUAGUGGCGGACUGGUGAGUAACGCGUGAGGAACCUGCCUUUCAGAGGGGGACAACAGUUGGAAACGACUGCUAAUACCGCAUGAUGCGUAACUGGGACAUCCCGGAUACGCCAAAGAUUUUAUCGCUGAAAGAUGGCCUCGCG